rnacentral:rRNA from 1 species
GGAGUUAGCCGGUGCUUCUUCUGCGAGUAACGUCACAGAUGUAAGGUAUUAACUUACACCCUUUCCUCCUCGCUGAAAGUGCUUUACAACCCGAAGGCCUUCUUCACACACGCGGCAUGGCUGCAUCAGGGUUUCCCCCAUUGUGCAAUAUUCCCCACUGCUGCCUCCCGUAGGAGUCUGGGCCGUGUCUCAGUCCCAGUGUGGCUGAUCAUCCUCUCAGACCAGCUAGGGAUCGUCGCCUAGGUGAGCCUUUACCUCACCUACUAGCUAAUCCCACCUGGGCUUAUCCAUCAGCGCAAGGCCCGAAGGUCCCCUGCUUUCCCCCGUAGGGCGUAUGCGGUAUUAGCAGUCGUUUCCAACUGUUAUCCCCCACAAAUGGGCAAAUUCCCAGGCAUUACUCACCCGUCCGCCGCUCGUCAUCUUCAAAGCAAGCUUUUGAAAUGUUACCGCUCGACUUGCAUGUGUUAGGCCUGCCGCCAGCGUUCAAUCUGAGCCCAGUANACAACUAACUCGACUACGUAGGCGGGCGGUCGCGACGACGGCGACUAG